UACGUAGGUGGCGAGCGUUAUCCGGAAUUACUGGGCGUAAAGCGCACGCAGGCGGUCUUUUAAGUUUGACGUGAAAGCUCCCGGCUUAACUGGGAGAGGUCGUUGAAGACUGGAAGACUUGAGGCAAUGAGAGGGUGUAGAAUUCCCGGUGUAGUGGUGGAAUGCGUAGAUAUCGGGGGAAUACCAGUGGCGAAAGCGGCACCCUAGCGUUAGCCUGACGCUCAUGUGCGAAAGCGUGGGGAGCGAACGGGAUUAAGAUGACCC
rnacentral:rRNA from 1 species